CAGCAGCCACGGGAAUACGUAGGUGGCAAGCGUUGUCCGGAAUUAUUGGGCGUAAAGGGCGCGUAGGCGGAUAGUACAGUCAGACGUGAAAUUCCUGGGCUCAACCUGGGGACUGCGUUUGAGGCGUGCGGUCUAGAGUUUGGAAGAGGGUCGUGGAAUUCCCAGUGUAGAGGUGAAAUUCGUAGAUAUUGGGAAGAACACCGGUGGCGAAGGCGGCGACCUGGUCCUUGACUGACGCUGGGGCGCGAAAGCGUGGGGAGCAAACAGGAUUAGAUACCCGUGUAGUCCCUGUCUCUUAUAC
rnacentral:rRNA from 1 species